GACGAACGCUGGCGGCGUGCUUAACACAUGCAAGUCGAACGGAAAGGCCCUGCUUUUGUGGGGUGCUCGAGUGGCGAACGGGUGAGUAACACGUGAGUAACCUGCCCUUGACUUUGGGAUAACUUCAGGAAACUGGGGCUAAUACCGGAUAGGAGCUCCUGCUGCAUGGUGGGGGUUGGAAAGUUUCGGCGGUUGGGGAUGGACUCGCGGCUUAUCAGCUUGUUGGUGGGGUAGUGGCUUACCAAGGCUUUGACGGGUAGCCGGCCUGAGAGGGUGACCGGCCACAUUGGGACUGAGAUACGGCCCAGACUCAUACGGGAGGCAGCAGUGGAGAAUAUUGCACAAUGGGCGGAAGCCUGAUGCAGCAACGCCGCGUGCGGGAUGACGGCCUUCGGGUUGUAAACCGCUUUCGCCUGUGACGAAGCGUGAGUGACGGUAAUGGGUAAAGAAGCACCGGCUAACUACGUG
rnacentral:rRNA from 1 species